rnacentral:lncRNA from 1 species
UAUGUGGGAUGCCACCUCAAUGUGGCCUGACGAGCGGCGCCAUGUCCAUGCCCAGGAUCCGAACCAGCGAACCCUGGGCUGCCAAAGCAGAGCACGCGAACUUAACCACUCGGCCACGGGGCCAGCCCCCAUAGGCUUUUAAAACAAUCCCAGUUUCAGGACUUCGGUAUGGAUGUUGGGAUUGACAAAAAAUCAGAUAAAGCCUCUAAUAUAGCAAGUGAUCGGUAACACUCUCAUCUUGGGGCUGAGGAAGCUGGUCUUACAGGGAUUGUGAGUUAUCCAGGUCCUCUAGCAACUAAUGUUAAUUGACAUCACAUUUCUGAGAAGACUAAGAAUUACGUGAAGGAAAGCUCAGAAUGCAUUGAAACUGUUUAUUUGUGAACAGAAGGUAUAGUCAUGCUUUAAUUUUUAUUUUCAUGGCUUCAUCUUCAAGUACUUCCACUUUCUUCUAGUUCACUUAUUUUGCUCUCUUCUUUCAUCCUAGUGUCCCAUUUCAUUACACUGUUUAACAGUCUUUAUUCAAAGCAAGCAUCUUAUAUGCAAAGUACCAAUUUUUAAAUUUCUGUAUGGACUGACCCAAGGAAGAGAGGAUUUGCUAUCACUCUAAUUAAUAUUUUUGAAUUCUGAAUUCUUUAUUACACAUUUGUAUAGAUCAAAGAAGCAAAGAAAUGUGCUCAAGAGAAAAAGAGACAAAGUAAGAUUUUUUGUGAUGAAGCACAUAAAUUUAAGGUAAAAAUACCUUCUUUUCCCGACAUUACACUCUAAAAACAGAAGUAAAAGUAAUGAGUAAGUAUUGCUAACCUCUAUAUGUUUUGUUGAAGAAUAACAUCAAAUCACUUGAAAGUACUAAUGAAAUCAUUAAUGACAUAAUUCAAAGUGUACAUGCUAGGUUGCAAUCAGAGGGAGAUUGGAACGUCAAGAAUUAGGACUUGGUGAGAGUUCUGCUACUAAGUUAUUACCAUAGUUUGACUUUUGAGCAUUUUUGAUCCUUGGGAGAAUUGAGCCCUGCCUUCUUCCAUGUUGUUUCAAGUACUAAUACUACAAUGCCUUUUUUCAUUUAAGGACUUCGAAG